rnacentral:rRNA from 1 species
UACUUAGCGGCGGACGGGUGAGUAACGCGUGGGUAACCUGCCUUACGCUGGGGGAUAACAGUUAGAAAUGACUGCUAAUACCGCAUAAGCGCACAGGGCCGCAUGGUCUGGUGUGAAAAACUCCGGUGGUGUAAGAUGGACCCGCGUCUGAUUAGGUAGUUGGUGGGGUAACGGCCCACCAAGCCGACGAUCAGUAGCCGACCUGAGAGGGUGACCGGCCACAUUGGGACUGAGACACGGCCCAA